GUAUGGUGCCUACUCUAGCGGAUUGCAUUUUCAUGCUAGGCCUACCCUUGGCACAAAAAGGGUCCCCCUAUUGGACAUGCAUACCGAUUUUAUAUUCUUGUUUACUAACUCAGGGUAUUUUUCUUUUGUUUUCCCCCUCCCCUGCAUUCAUAAAAACACUUCAAUAAAAGAGAAAAUAUUUUUCUAUAUCUGAUGGCACUUCCG
rnacentral:lncRNA from 1 species